ensembl:snRNA U6 U6 spliceosomal RNA
AUGCUCGCUUCAGCAACACGUAUAGUAAAAUUGGAAUGAUACAGAGAUUAGCACGGCCCCUGUGCAAGGAUGAUACACCAAUUGGUGAAGCAUUCCAUAUUUUA